rnacentral:lncRNA from 1 species
CGAGGUUCAAAAAUAGUCACGCAGUCAUCUGGCCUCUAUCAGUAUCCACUCAAGUAGAAUCUGAAUUGUCUUCUCUUUUGCAAAUCUUUGCUCUAAAAAUCAGAUCUAGAUCAGAUCUGGAAGAUCUUCAAAAUAUCUUCUGAAGCUGGAGCAGCAGCUUCUCGACAAAUCCCUGCAGCCUUCUGAUCAGGGAGCCACCACGCCUUGGACAAGCACCAGAUGGAUGCCCAACUUCUUGGACAUGAAGAGGGGAGAG